rnacentral:rRNA from 1 species
GAUGAACGCUGGCGGCGUGCCUAAUACAUGCAAGUCGAGCGAACGGACGAGAAGCUUGCUUCUCUGAUGUUAGCGGCGGACGGGUGAGUAACACGUGGAUAACCGACCUAUAAGACUGGGAUAACUUCGGGAAACCGGAGCUAAUACCGGAUGAUAUUUUGAACCGCAUGGUUCAAAAGUGAAAGACGGUCUUGCUGUCACUUAUAGAUGGAUCCGCGCUGCAUUAGCUAGUUGGUAAGGUAACGGCUUACCAAGGCAACGAUGCAUAGCCGACCUGAGAGGGUGAUCGGCCACACUGGAACUGAGACACGGUCCAGACUCCUACGGGAGGCAGCAGUAGGGAAUCUUCCGCAAUGGGCGAAAGCCUGACGGGGCAACGCCGCGUGAGUGAUGAAGGUCUUCGGAUCGUAAAACUCUGUUAUUAGGGAAGAACAUAUGUGUAAGUAACUGUGCACAUCUUGACGGUACCUAAUCAGAAAGCCACGGCUAACUACGUG